rnacentral:sRNA from 1 species
GUUUGUAGCACCUCGAAAUAUUCAUCUAAGACUCCAUAAACACGCCGUUUAGAAUUUGAGCGACGCAGAAAGGAGCAUUACAAAGAGUUUGAGGCAGUGAAACUGGCACGAAAACUCAUCGAA